GUCGGCAAAGAUAUUUUCGUCGGGGGAAACCUAAUCCGGCAAAUUUUGUCGGCAUAGAUCUUUGCCGACGAAAUUUCGUCGGGAGAAGUGUUCAUGUGUUUUUUUUUUUUUUUGAAAAGUAUAAAGUUUAAAAAUAUGGAUAUGUUUAAACUAGCAAAUUAAUAUCUAUAAAGUACAAGCUAAUGCAACUUGGAGGGUCCUUCUUUCUUUUAUUUAUUUAUUAAAUACUAUAUUUACAUAGUAUAGCCGUGCGGCUGUACUGUAUUUUUCUUUUUUAAAAAUAGUCUAGCCGGGCGGCUAUACUCUUUGGGGACACGUGGCGCCUAAUCGCUGGAGGCUCCUUUUUUAAGACCAAAAAAUAAUACAGCCGCACGGCUAUACUCGGUGUUUUUUAAAAAGUCGACACGUGGCGCCUUUUUUUAUUAAAAAUAGUAUAGCCGCACGGCUAUACUCAGUUUUUUUUUUUUUUUAAAUUUUUUUUUUUUUUUUUUUUUUUUAAUGAAAAGGUAGGCUACACCCUUUAAGUAGCAUGGUAUGUAUUUCACUUUUUUAAUUACUUUGAUUAGUAAAGGAGAAAAAGAAGAAAAGAAAAUUGAAUUACUAUUCAUUAAGU
rnacentral:lncRNA from 1 species